CACGAACGCUGGCGGCAGGCUUAACACAUGCAAGUCGAGCGCCCCGCAAGGGGAGCGGCAGACGGGUGAGUAACGCGUGGGAAUCUACCCAUCUCUACGGAAUAACGCAUGGAAACGUGUGCUAAUACCGUAUACGUCCUUCGGGAGAAAGAUUUAUCGGAGAUGGAUGAGCCCGCGUUGGAUUAGCCAGUUGGUGGGGUAAAGGCCUACCAAGGCGACGAUCCAUAGCUGGUCUGAGAGGAUGAUCAGCCACACUGGGACUGAGACACGGCCCAGACUCCUACGGGAGGCAGCAGUGGGGAAUAUUGGACAAUGGGCGCAAGCCUGAUCCAGCCAUGCCGCGUGAGCGAUGAAGGCCCUAGGGUUGUAAAGCUCUUUCACCGGUGAAGAUAAUGACGGUAACCGGAGAAGAAGCCCCGGCUAACUUCGUGCCAGCCGCCGCCGUAAAAC
rnacentral:rRNA from 1 species